CACAUUAAAACACUGGUUCCUGUGUGAUCACCAAAGUUAAGCAAUGUUGAGCUUGGUCAGUACCUAGAUGAGUGACCACUUGGGAAGACUCAGUGGUGUA